GUCCGUGAACUGUGGGGAAAUGUCUCCCCCUUCAGAUCCGGCAGCGGGAUUAUCCGCUCACCACCACCACGAGGAG
ncrna:unclassified sequences L20-Deltaproteobacteria ribosomal protein leader